UACGUAGGGGGCAAGCGUUGUCCGGAAUCAUUGGGCGUAAAGAGCGUGUAGGCGGUCCGGUAAGUCGGUUGUGAAAGCCCCGGGCUCAACCUGGGAAGUGCACUCGAAACUGCAAAGCUUGAGUAUCGGAGAGGUUGGUAGAAUUCUCGGUGGAGAGGUGAAAUUCGUAGAUAUCGAGGGGAAUACCAGUGGCGAAGGCGGCCAACUGGACGAAUACUGACGCUGAGACACGAAAGCGUGGGGAGCAAACAGG
rnacentral:rRNA from 1 species